AUGCAAUUGGUCUCGGGAGGCCACACUGCCAUCAAUGUUAAUGGUCAGGUUAGCAAAUUCUUUGCCAAUGGUAGGGGCCUGAGGCAAGGCGAUCCUGCCUCUCCCAUCCUAUUCAAUUUCGUUGCAGAUGCUUUAUCUCGCCUCCUUUCUAGGGCGGCUGCCACUGGGCACAUUACUCCGGUUUGCUCUAAUCUCAUUCCCCAUGGUCUCACCCAUCUCCAAUAUGCGGACGACACUAUUAUUCUGGUCGAGAUGAAUGAGGCCUGCCUUGCCCACCUCAAAUUUAUUUUACUCUGCUUCGAGGCUAUGUCAGGGCUUAAGAUUAACUUCGCCAAGAGCGAAGUAGUUGUGACUGGUGUGGACGGGUCGGAAGCCGCGCGAGUGGCCCACCUUCUUAAUUGUAAGCAGGGCUCCUAUCCGUUCAAAUACUUGGGGUUGCCUAUUUCCCCGGAUGUGCUACAUGCCAAAGAUUUUGCCCCGAUAGUCACUAAGGUGGGAAACAGGGUCCUUCCCUGGCGGGGUAGAUAUAAUACGAACGCUGGUAAAGUGGCCCUAAUUAAUGCUUGUCUCUCCUCCCUCCCCAUGUUCCUUAUGGGCUUCUUUCUCUUGUCGGCUGGGAUUCAUGCUGGUUUUGACAAACACCGUGGGGCGUUCUACUGGAAUGCUGCGGACAACCGCCGCAAAUAUCGCUUCGUCAAAUGGAAAUUGAUGUGCAGGCCCAAAAACCUUGGGGGGUUAGGGAUUCUCAAUACCCAUCAUGAACCAAUGCUUGAUGAUUAA
rnacentral:rRNA from 1 species